rnacentral:lncRNA from 1 species
AAAAAAAGCGAAAAAAAAGUGCAAAAACGGAGAGAAGUGGGAGUGGUAGUGGGAGGAAGUAGCGCAUCCUCGGCGCUCGUAAUCAGAGCGUCGUCGGCAGUGAGAGAGAGAGAGAGAGAGAGAGAGAGAGAGAGAGUAGGACAGCUACGCCUGUAGUGAUGGUAAACAUGGAAACGUUAAAUCAGAAGAAGAAAUCUUGUAAAAGAAUGGAAUCACUGUUACAUUCCAGCCGGCAUCAACGGCUAUCGGCCCAUCACUGGGAUAAAAACAUCUUCACGACCAACAACUCGACCUUUCUUGGAGAAUAUCACCACCACCACCUUACCCUACACUCCUAAUCACACAAACAGAUACACCGUUUAUUUUACUGUAAAUAUAUACAUAUAUAUAUAUAUAUAUACAUACAUAUAUAUUUUUUUUUGGUCGUGGUGCGUAUACAUAUAUAUACGCACAGAGACACUCAUGCUCUGUAACAGUGAUAAUUAUUUUUAAAGAUAUCGCUAUUAUUCUUCUUCUUAUUAUUAUUAUUAUUAUUAUUAUUAUUAUUAUUAUUAUUAUUAUUAUUAUUACUAUUAUUACUAUUAUUGUUGUUGAUAUUGUUGCUGUUGUUGUUGUUCGUUGUUGAUGGUGUUGAUGAUGAUGAAGAUGUUGAUGAUGAUGAUGUUGAUAUCGCCGUUUAUUUAGUUUUUCAAAGUACAAACAAACCGCAAACAGAGACGCGAUGUGGGUGAGAAAAAUGUAAUCUGUUCGUCAUACAAAUAAACAUAUACAAGCAUGCGGUUAAGGAGAGCCUCUCACAACCCCCUCAAAUUCAUUUAGAUCCGUCCCCAAUAACUAUUUACUGAUUCUGAUGAGUACCCUUGAAGACUGAAGAAGUCUGACUAAAAUUCUCCAGCGGCUCAUACAUACAUACAUAUACAUAUACAUAUACAUAUACAUAAACACACUAAUAUGUACUCAUGCAUACAUCUAUAAAAUCCAGCAUGGCCUUACUCAAAAUGGCUAACACAAACUAGGAUAAUAUAUAGACACAUACACACACCAUCAUACAUAUAUACAAAUAUACAUACACACACGUGUAUAUAUAUAUAUAUAUAUAUAUAUACUGUUCUGUAUUAAUAACCCCAUAGGCUGGUAAUUGGUAGUGCGUAUAAGUUGUUUUAUGAAUGAAUCAAUGGGGCUAAGAGAGUACAAACAUGCUUUAAACUUUAACCCUUCUUUCACAUUCUCUCUAAAUCUUUCUGGGAAACCGUUUUAUGUUGUGGCGAAUUUCUUCUCAUUAACUAUCAAUGUGAAGACUUAAAGAAUUUUUCUGUCACCUUCUUUAAUAAAUCCACAUACUUAUACAUACACACAUUACAUACUUACAAAUACAUACAUACAUACAUAUAUAUAUAUGUAUAUAUAUGUCUGUGUGGGUGUAUUUAUGUGCUAUGUAUGUGAAAAUCUUGUGUAAACUUAUGCACGGUCCUUUAAUCACCGAAAAAGGGACCUCAAAGCGAUGGAAAUAUUACUGUCAACUUUUUUGCUUCAAACCCCGCAUCACAUUUUCAGAAAAUACUUAAAUAUUAAACAGUAAUUAUUAUCAUUAUUAUUAUUAUUAUUAUUAUUAUUAUUAUUAUUAUUAUUAUUAUUAUUAUUAUUAUUAUUAUUAUUACUAUUAUUAGACCAUUAAAUAUCAGAAAAAGUACCAAUGUCUCUAGGUGCGGGUGGAUUGUUUGAAAUAAAUACGUUGUUUAAACAUAGAAAAAGUAUUAAAAGAUCAAUAAAAUUGUUUGAUUGGAACGAAAAAAUAAAAUGAUCUUUUCUGGAGAGUUAAGCAAAAUAAAAUGAACGUAUAUCUUGUCAGAUAUUACUUGAAUCCACCACAAUCUGGUCAAGAAUUAAAAAAAAAAUAAUAAUUUAAAAAAUUAAAAAAGGAUCCAGAUGAAAGACCCGACUUACUUUUUCCUGUUGUGGAUGUAAUCUGGUAAGACUCAAAAACUGAAACCCGGUGCUUUUUUUACUGUGAUUUGGGAGAUUACGAGCAUGGAUUUACACACGAGUGUUGAACUUAUUUCGAAAGGU